AGUUACCGCUCUAUAACCCUUUGUGAACAUACCUAUAACUGUUGCUUCGGCGGGUAGGGUCUCCGUGACCCUCCCGGCCUCCCGCCCCCGGGCGGGUCGGCGCCCGCCGGAGGAUAACCAAACUCUGAUUUAACGACGUUUCUUCUGAGUGGUACAAGCAAAUAAUCAAAACUUUUAACAACGGAUCUCUUGGUUCUGGCAUCGAUGAAGAACGCAGCGAAAUGCGAUAAGUAAUGUGAAUUGCAGAAUUCAGUGAAUCAUCGAAUCUUUGAACGCACAUUGCGCCCGCCAGCAUUCUGGCGGGCAUGCCUGUUCGAGCGUCAUUUCAACCCUCAAGCUCUGCUUGGUGUUGGGGCCCUACGGCUGACGUAGGCCCUCAAAGGUAGUGGCGGACCCUCCCGGAGCCUCCUUUGCGUAGUAACUUUACGUCUCGCACUGGGAUCCGGAGGGACUCUUGCCGUAAAACCCCCAAUUUUCCAAAGGUUGACCUCGGAUCAGGUAGGAAUACCCGCUGAACUUAA
rnacentral:rRNA from 1 species